rnacentral:rRNA from 1 species
UUCCAGACUCCUACGGGAGGCAGCAGUGAGGAAUAUUGGUCAAUGGGCGGGAGCCUGAACCAGCCAAGUCGCGUGAGGGAUGACGGCCCUACGGGUUGUAAACCUCUUUUGUCGGGGAGCAAAUUCCGCCACGUGUGGCGGAGUCGAGAGUACCCGAAGAAAAAGCAUCGGCUAACUCCGUGCCAGCAGCCGCGGUAAUACGGAGGAUGCGAGCGUUAUCCGGAUUUAUUGGGUUUAAAGGGUGCGUAGGCGGGAUGCCAAGUCAGCGGUAAAAAUGCGGUGCUCAACGCCGGCGAGCCGUUGAAACUGGCGUUCUUGAGUGGGCGAGAAGUAUGCGGAAUGCGUGGUGUAGCGGUGAAAUGCAUAGAUAUCACGCAGAACUCCGAUUGCGAAGGCAGCAUACCGGCGCCCAACUGACGCUGAAGCACGAAAGCGUGGGUAUCGAACAGGAUUAGAUACCCCUGUAGU